GACUCGAAUUCAUCCGCUCAUUCCGUAUGCUAUCUUUGCGACCUUGGCGUUUUUGGCAAGUUGCGCAUGCUUGCUGCUACCAGAGACCACUGGCCGGCCAACACAAGAAGUCAUAUCGGAGACUCAAGCUCCAGUUCAACAACUUGAGCUAAGUGAUACUACCGACAAGUCCGUUUUUGUCGGAAACAAAAAUCUUGUUUAAAUGCAAUGUAGGCGAGCAAUUUUGUCCUUGUGAUUCAAGAUUUCCUUGACAUUUUUUGACAGGUUUUCCUGAAAGAGAACUUGCUCGUCUAUACGUCUGUUCUAAAUUUUAGUGCCAAAAUAUAUUCAUGAUCAUGAAAUAACCUAAUUUUUACUAUACUGGGAACAAAUCAUAUUUAUAUUUGAUAUUUUUUAAUUGAUUCUUCUAAUAUUGUUUAUAAUAUAUAUGUUAUACUAAGAACGUUUUUGAUUGGCUGAAGUGCGUGCUCAAUAAUUCGACUGAGCACGGCAAAAAAUCUUGGGAAAUUUUUUGGGAAACAUUUUUUUGAGAAUUUCCACACACUUUUCAUUUAAUCAUAAUAUUAGCCUGCAUAGCAGGCGUUUAGUGCGGGCGGGAGA
rnacentral:lncRNA from 1 species